rnacentral:rRNA from 1 species
UACGUAGGGUGCAAGCGUUAAUCGGAAUUACUGGGCGUAAAGCGUGCGCAGGCGGUUCGCCAAGUCAGGUGUGAAAUCCCCGGGCUUAACCUGGGAAUUGCGCUUGAAACUAGCGGGCUUGAGUGUGGGCAGAGGGGGGUGGGAAUUCCACGGUGUAGCAGUGAAAUGCGUAGAUAUCGGGAGGAACACCUGUGGCGAAGGCGGCCCCCUGGUUGGAUACUGACGCUGAUACGCGAAAGCGUGGGGAGCAAACAGGG